rnacentral:rRNA from 1 species
GAUGAACGCUAGCGGGAGGCCUAACACAUGCAAGCCGAGCGGUAGAGUUUCUUCGGAAACUUGAGAGCGGCGCACGGGUGCGUAACACGUGUGCAACCUACCUUUAUCUGGGGGAUAGCCUUUCGAAAGGAAGAUUAAUACCCCAUAAUAUAAUGAUUGGCAUCAAUUAUUAUUGAAAACUCCGGUGGAUAGAGAUGGGCACGCGCAAGAUUAGAUAGUUGGUGAGGUAACGGCCCACCAAGUCAAUGAUCUUUAGGGGUCCUGAGAGGGAGAUCCCCCACACUGGUACUUAGACACGGACCAGACUCCUACGGGAGGCAGCAGUGAGGAAUAUUGGACAAUGGGUGAGAGCCUGAUCCAGCCAUCCCGCGUGAAGGAUGACGGUCCUAGGGAUUGUAAACUUCUUUUGUACAGGGAUAAACCUACCCUCGUGAGGGUAGCUGAAGGUACUGUACGAAUAAGCACCGGCUAACUCCGUG